ACAGCAAUAUGUAGGUCAGACUAAAGACUUUACCAGAAUCGCUGAGAGGAGGUGCAUGGCCGUCGUCAGUUCGUACUGUGAAGCAUCCUGUUAAGUCAGGCAACGAGCGAGACCCGUGCCCACUGUUGCCAGCAUGUCCUUCGGGAUGAUGGGUACUCUGUGGGGACCGCCGAUGCUAAAUCGGAGGAAGGUGCGGGCUACGGUAGGUCAGUAUGCCCCGAAUCUCCCGGGCUACACGCGGGCUACAAUGACUGGUACAAUGGGUAUCUACCCCGAAAGGGGACGGGAAUCUCCUAAAACCAAUCUUAGUUCGGAUUGAGGGCUGCAACUCGCCCUCAUGAAGCUGGAAUCCGUAGUAAUCGCGUUUCAACAGAACGCGGUGAAUACGUCCCUGCUCCUU
rnacentral:rRNA from 1 species